rnacentral:rRNA from 1 species
UGCAGUCGAACGAACUUCCGUUAAUUGAUUAUGAGGUGCUUGCACUGAAUGAGAUUUUAACACGAAGUGAGUGGCGGACGGGUGAGUAACACGUGGGUAACCUGCCCAGAAGCAGGGGAUAACACCUGGAAACAGAUGCUAAUACCGUAUAACAGAGAAAACCGCCUGGUUUUCUUUUAAAAGAUGGCUCUGCUAUCACUUCUGGAUGGACCCGCGGCGCAUUAGCUAGUUGGUGAGGUAACGGCUCACCAAGGCGAUGAUGCGUAGCCGACCUGAGAGGGUAAUCGGCCACAUUGGGACUGAGACACGGCCCAGACUCCUACGGGAGGCAGCAGUAGGGAAUCUUCCACAAUGGACGCAAGUCUGAUGGAGCAACGCCGCGUGAGUGAAGAAGGGUUUCGGCUCGUAAAGCUCUGUUGUUAAAGAAGAACGUGGGUGAGAGUAACUGUUCACCCAGUGACGGUAUUUAACCAGAAAGCCACGGCUAACUACGUGCCAGCAGCCGCGGUAAUACGUAGGUGGCAAGCGUUAUCCGGAUUUAUUGGGCGUAAAGCGAGCGCAGGCGGUCUUUUAAGUCUAAUGUGAAAGCCUUCGGCUCAACCGAAGAAGUGCAUUGGAAACUGGGAGACUUGAGUGCAGAAGAGGACAGUGGAACUCCAUGUGUAGCGGUGAAAUGCGUAGAUAUAUGGAAGAACACCAGUGGCGAAGGCGGCUGUCUGGUCUGUAACUGACGCUGAGGCUCGAAAGCAUGGGUAGCGAACAGGAUUAGAUACCCUGGUAGUCCAUGCCGUAAACGAUGAUUACUAAGUGUUGGAGGGUUUCCGCCCUUCAGUGCUGCAGCUAACGCAUUAAGUAAUCCGCCUGGGGAGUACGACCGCAAGGUUGAAACUCAAAAGAAUUGACGGGGGCCCGCACAAGCGGUGGAGCAUGUGGUUUAAUUCGAAGCUACGCGAAGAACCUUACCAGGUCUUGACAUCUUCUGCCAACCUAAGAGAUUAGGCGUUCCCUUCGGGGACAGAAUGACAGGUGGUGCAUGGUUGUCGUCAGCUCGUGUCGUGAGAUGUUGGGUUAAGUCCCGCAACGAGCGCAACCCUUAUUACUAGUUGCCAGCAUUCAGUUGGGCACUCUAGUGAGACUGCCGGUGACAAACCGGAGGAAGGUGGGGACGACGUCAAAUCAUCAUGCCCCUUAUGACCUGGGCUACACACGUGCUACAAUGGAUGGUACAACGAGUCGCGAAACCGCGAGGUUUAGCUAAUCUCUUAAAACCAUUCUCAGUUCGGACUGUAGGCUGCAACUCGCCUACACGAAGUCGGAAUCGCUAGUAAUCGCGGAUCAGCAUGCCGCGGUGAAUACGUUCCCGGGCCUUGUACACACCGCCCGUCACACCAUGAGAGUUUGUAACACCCAAAGCCGGUGGGGUA